rnacentral:rRNA from 1 species
UGGGGAAUAUUGGACAAUGGGCGCAAGCCUGAUCCAGCAAUGCCGCGUGUGUGAAGAAGGCCUGCGGGUUGUAAAGCACUUUAAGCAGGAAAGAAGGCUUCAAGAUUAAUACCCUUGGAGAUUGACGUUACCUGCAGAAUAAGCACCGGCUAACUCCGUGCCAGCAGCCGCGGUAAUACGGAGGGUGCGAGCGUUAAUCGGAAUUACUGGGCGUAAAGCGCGCGUAGGCGGUUGGCUAAGUCUGCUGUGAAAGCCCCGGGCUUAACCUGGGAACGGCAGUGGAUACUGGCUGGCUAGAGUAUGGUAGAGGGUAGUGGAAUUUCCGGUGUAGCAGUGAAAUGCGUAGAGAUCGGAAGGAACACCAGUGGCGAAGGCGGCUAUCUGGACCAAUACUGACGCUGAGGUGCGAAAGCGUGGGGAGCAAACAGG